rnacentral:misc_RNA from 1 species
UGCCAAGUUUCCACUUUCAAAUUUUCUUUCCUUAUAAUAUCCUUCACAAAUAUAUUUUAAAGUCUAAUCCUCUCAACUAGGAUUCCAAACUCAUUCCUUAAUUAAAAACAAUUUCAUGACUAACACACUUCUAAUUCAAUGUAGAGCUUCUAGCUCAUAAUAUCACCUUACUAGACAAAAUUCUAGCUCUUUAACUAUUAUCAAAAAUUAAAAUCCCAAUGCUCUGUUCAUCAACAAGUUCAAAACUAAUCUUUUACUUAUAUCCAUAUUAACCUAAACAUUCUAGCACUUGCCACUCUAAAAACUAAUCCCUUUUCCUUUGGGAAGCCAAUGAUGGUAGAGAAAUGCUCAAACAGCAUAAGCAAUGACACAAAGGACAUUUUUCCUUCUCAGUGAUGUGUGAUAGACAGGAUCUUCAGGUAGCUAUAUCAGUUGUUUCCGGCGAUCAGCACAGGUGAAUUAUGCACCAAUUAACUCCCCUCAACCUAGCUUCUUUCCAAUCGAUGGUACUUAAUUUGGUGGAGUUUUCCAACAAUAAGAAGAGAGGAUAAAGAAUUAGAGUA